rnacentral:lncRNA from 1 species
UGAGCCUCAGAAACUCCAGCUCAUGCCUUCCUGGCUGGCUUCUGUGAGCCCUGAGUCUAGCGGAGCUGCACCCUUCCCCACCUACCUGAGGAUAUUCUAAACCACUCAAGAAGGGCAGGAGCAGUGGGUGAUUAGAAGCCAAUUAAAGAUACAGCCCAGCUCCUCACCAUCUUACCUAUUACCACCUGUGCAAAGAUCACCUGCUGGCACAGGGGUGGGGGGAGGGGGUGGACUAGGAGGGCAAUUUCCGGUUACUGCCCCAGAGAGGGGGCUGUGGCUGUCUUGCCGCCUGUGCCUGGCAGAGGAGGCCAGUGACAGGAGCCACGUCUUAGGGCAAUGACCAGCCAGAAAAAUUGCCAGUCGGGAGGGAGAGCGCACUUCGUCUUGGGCCCAACCUCUCUUUGUUCCUGCCCUUCCGGAGUGGCUGGGUGUUCUGCAGCACAGACCUCAGUUCUACCAGGCUGUGAUCUGCCAGCGUUUUAUGAGAGCUGA